rnacentral:lncRNA from 1 species
CCUCUGAUUCUUCUCUUCCAUUUGAUUCUCGAACAAUCUCGAAGGUUCUUGAAAUAUUUGAUUUGAUGACGACAAAUCCAAAGGGCUUCAAGCCAUGAUUUUGAAUUGCACGUCGAAGUUGAUUUGAUUUGGAGAAGAACGUCCUUAGAAUUUUGUAAGAACGCCUUGAAGCUUUCGAUCUUGAAGAUUUGAAUGCUUGAUUGU